rnacentral:rRNA from 1 species
ACGAACGCUGGCGGCGUGCUUCACACAUGCCAGUCGAACGGAAAGGCCCUGCUUUUGUGGGGUGCUCGAGUGGCGAACGGGUGAGUAACACGUGAGUAACCUGCCCUUGACUUUGGGAUAACUUCAGGAAACUGGGGCUAAUACCGGAUAGGAGCUCCUGCUGCAUGGUGGGGGUUGGAAAGUUUCGGCGGUUGGGGAUGGACUCGCGGCUUAUCAGCUUGUUGGUGGGGUAGUGGCUUACCAAGGCUUUGACGGGUAGCCGGCCUGAGAGGGUGACCGGCCACAUUGGGACUGAGAUACGGCCCAGACUCCUACGGGAGGCAGCAGUGGGGAAUAUUGCACAAUGGGCGGAAGCCUGAUGCAGCAACGCCGCGUGCGGGAUGACGGCCUUCGGGUUGUAAACCGCUUUCGCCUGUGACGAAGCGUGAGUGACGGUAAUGGGUAAAGAAGCACCGGCUAACUACGUG